UAAGAAAAUUCAAAAAAAGAAGUCAGUGUUUGUUCUCGAAUUAUGUCCCCAGCCAUCAGCAUUAGGGUUUCAAACCCUAAACUGAAUUUUUCCUUUAAUCAGCAUUAGGGUUUUAAACCCUAAACUUAAUUUUUCCUUUAGUCAGCAUUAGGGUUUUAAACCCUAAACUGAACCUCUUCCAUUCAGCCAGCAUUAGGGUUUUAAACCCUAAACUGAAUUUUUUUCACUUUAGUCAGCAUUACCCUAAACUGAACUUUUUCCAUUCAGCCAGCAUUAGGGUUUUAAACCCUAAAAUGAGCUUUUUUAUUCAGCCAGCAUUAGGGUUUUAAACCCUAAACUGAAUUUUCCUUUCAGUCAGCAUUAGGGUUUUAAACCCUAAACUGAACUUUUCCCAUUCAGCCAGCAUUAGGGUUUUAAACCCUAAACUGAGCUUUUCCAUGCAAUCAGCGUUUGGGUUUUAAAACCCUAAACUGAAUUUUCCUUUCAGUCAGCAUUAAGGUUUUUAAACCCUAAACUGAACUUUUUCCUUUCAGUCAGCAUUAAGGUUUUAAACCCUAUACUGAACUUUUCCCAUUCAGCCAGCAUUAAGGUUGUAAACCCUAAACUGAGCUUUUUCAUGCAAUCAGCAUUAGGGUUUUAAAACCCUAAUCCGAAUUUUCCUUUUAAUCAGCAUUAGGGUUUUAAACCCUAAACUGAACUUUUUUCAUUCAGCCAGCAUUAGGGUUUUAAACCCUAAACUGAGCUUUUUCAUGCAAUCAGCAUUAGGGUUUUAAACCCUAAACUGAAUUUUCCUUUAGUCAGCAUUAGGGUUUUAAACCCUAAACUGAACUUUUUCCAUUCAGCCAACAUUAGGGUUUUAAACCCUAAACUGAGCUUUUCCAUGCAAUCAGCAUUAGGGUUUUAAACCCUAAACUGAAUUUUCCUUUAGUCAGCAUUAGGGUUUUAAACCCUAAACUGAAAUUUUUCCAUUCAGCCAGCAUUAGGGUUUUAAACCCUAAACUGAGCUUUUCCAUGCAAUCAGCAUUAGGGUUUUAAAUCCUAAACUGAAUUUUCCUUUAGUCAGCAUUAGGGUUUUAAACCCUAAACUGAACUUUUUCCAUUCAGCCAGUAUUAGGGUUUUAAACCCUAAACUGAGCUUUUCCAUGCAAUCAGUAUUAGGGUUUUAAACCAUAAACUGAAUUUUCCUUUUAAUCAGCAUUAGGGUUUUAAACCCUAAACUGAACUUUUUCCAUUCAGCCAGCAUUAGGGUUUUAAACCCUAAACUGAGCUUUUUCAUGCAAUCAGCAUUAGGGUUUUAAACCCUAAACUGAAUUUUCCUUUAGUCAGCAUUAGGGUUUUAAACCCUAAACUGAACUUUUUCCAUUCUGCCAGCAUUAGGGUUUUAAACCCUAAACUGAGCUUUUCCAUGCAAUCAGCAUUAGGGUUUUAAACCCUAAAGUGAAUUUUCCUUUUAGUCAGCAUUAGGGUUUUAAACCCUAAACUGAACUUUUUCCAUUCAGCCAGCAUUAGGGUUUUAAACCCUAAACUGAGCUUUUCCAUGCAAUCAGCAUUAGGAUUUUAAACCCUAAACUGAAUUUUCCUUUUAAUCAGCAUUAGGGUUUUAAACCCUAAACUGAACUUUUUCCAUUCAGCCAGCAUUAGGGUUUUAAACCCUAAACUGAGCUUUUUCAUGCAAUCAGCAUUAGUGUUUUAAACCCUAAACCGAAUUUUCCUUUUAGUCAGCAUUAGGGUUUUUAAACCCUAAACUGAACUUUUUCCAUUCAGCCAGCAUUAGGGUUUUAAACCCUAAACUGAGCUUUUUUAUUCAGCCAGCAUUAGGGUUUUAAACCCUAAACUGAGCUUUUCCAUGCAAUCAGCAUUAGGGUUUUAAACCCUAAACUGAACUUUUUCCAUUCAGCCAGCAUUAGGGUUUUAAACCUUAAAUUGAGCUUUUUCCAUUCAGCCAGAUUAGGGUUUUAAACCCUAAACUGAGCUUUUCCAUGCAAUCAGCAUUAGGGUUUUAAACCCUAAACUGAAUUUUCCUUUUAGUCAGCAUUAGGGUUUUAAACCCUAAACUGAACUUUUUCCUUUCAGCCAGCAUUAGGGUUUUAAACCCUAAACUGAGCUUUUCCAUGCAAUCAGCAUUAGGGUUUUAAACCUGAAACUGAAUUUUUCCUUUAGUCAGCGUUAGGGUUUUAAACCCUAAACUGAACUUUUCCUUUUAGUCAGCAUUAGGGUUUUAAACCCUAAACUGAGCUUUUCCAUGCAAUCAGCAUUAGGGUUUUAAACCCUAAACUGAAUUUUCCUUUUAGUCAGCAUUAUGGUUUAUAACCCUAAACUGAACUUUUUCCUUUCAGUCAGCAUUAGGGUUUUAAACCCUAAACUGAGCUUUUCCAUGCAAUCAGCAUUAGGGUUUUAAACCCUAAACUGAAUUUUCCUUUUAGUCAGCAUUAGGGUUUUAAACCCUAAACUGAACUUUUUCCUAUCAGCCAGCAUUAGGGUUUUAAACCCUAAACUGAGCUUUUCCAUGCAAUCAGCAUUAGGGUUUUAAACCCUAAACUGAGCUUUUCCAUGCUAUCAGCAUUAGGGUUUUAAACACUAAACUAAAUUUCCCAUUUAGUCAGCAUUAGGGUUUUAAACCCUAAACUGAACUUUUUCCUUUCAGCCAGCAUUUGGGUUUUAAACCUUAAACUGAGCUUUUCCAUGCAAUCAGCAGUAGGGUUUUAAACCCUAAACUGAACUUUUUCCUUUCAGCCAGCAUUAGGGUUUUAAACCCUAAACUGAGCUUUUUCCAUACAAUCAGCAUUAGGGUUUUAAACCCUAAACUGAAUUUCCCAUUUAGUCAGCAUUAGGGUUUUAUACCCUAAACUGAACUUUUUCCUUUCAGCCAACAUUAGGGUUUUAAACUCUAAAUUGAGCUUUUCCAUGCAAUCAGCAUUAGGGUUUUAAACCCUAAACUGAGCUUUUUCCUUUCAGCCAGCAUUAGGGUUUUAAACCCUAAACUGAGCUUUUCCAUGUAAUCAGCAUUAGGGUUUUAAACCCUAAACUGAAUUUUCCUUUUAGUCAGCAUUAGGGUUUUAAACCCUAAACUGAACUUUUUUCAUUCAGCCAGCACUAGGGUUUUAAACUCUAAACUGAUCUUUUCCAUGCAAUCAGCAUUAGGGUUUUAAACCCUAAACUGAGCUUUUCCAUGUAAUCAGUAUUAGGGUUUUAAACCCUAAACUGAAUUUUCCUUUACAUCAGCAUUAGGGUUUUAAACCCUAAGCUGAACUUUUCCUUUUAGUCAGCAUUAGGGUUUUAAAACCCUAAACUGAACUUUUCCAUGUAAUCAGCAUUAGGGUUUUAAACCCUAAACUGAAUUUUCCUUUUAGUCAGCAGUAGGGUUUUAAACCCUAAACUGAACUUUUUCCAUUCAGCCAACAUUAGGGUUUUAAACCCUAAAUUAAGCUUUUCCAUGUAAUCAGCAUUAGGGUUUUAAACCCUAAACUGAAUUUUCCUUUAUAUCAGCAUUAGGGUUUUAAACCCUAAGCUGAACUUUUCCUUUUAGUCAGCAUUAGGGUUUUAAAACCCUAAACUGAACUUUUCCAUGUAAUCAGCAUUAGGGUUUUAAACCCUAAACUGAAUUUUCCUUUUAGUCAGCAUUAGGGUUUUAAACCCUAAACUGAACUUUUUCCAUUCAGCCAACAUUAGGGUUUUAAACUCUAAAUUGAGCUUUUCCAUGCAAUCGGCAUUAGGGUUUUAAACCCUAAAUUGAACUUUCCUUUUAGUCAGCAUUAGGGUUUUAAACCCUAAACUGAACUUUUUCCUUUCAGCCAGCAUUAGGGUUUUAAACCCUAAACUGAGCUUUUCCAUGCUAUCACCAUUAGGGUUUUAAACCCUAAGCUGAACUUUUCCUUUUAGUCAGCAUUAGGGUUUUAAAACCCUAAACUGAACUUUUCCAUGUAAUUAGCAUUAGGGUUUUAAACCCUAAACUGAAUUUCCCUUUUAGUCAGCAUUAGGGUUUUAAACCCUAAACUGAACUUUUUCCAUUCAGCCAGCAUUAGGGUUUUAAACCCUAAACUGAGCUUUUCCAUGCAAUCAGCAUUAUGGUUUUAAACCCUAAACUGAAUUUUCCUAUUAGUCAGCAUUAGGGUUUUAAACCUUAAACUGAACUUUUCCUUUUAGUCAGCAUUAGGGUUUUAAACCCUAAACUGAACUUUUCCACUCAGCCAGCAUUAGGGUUUUAAACCCUAAACUGAGCUUUUCCAUGUAAUCAGCAUUAGGGUUUUAAACCCUAAACUGAAUUUUCCUUUUAGUCAGCAUUAGGGUUUUAAACCCUAAACUGAACUUUUUUCCAUUCAGCCAGCAUCAGGGUUUUAAACCCUAAACUGAGCUUUUCCAUGUAAUCAGCAUUAGGGUUUUAAACCCUAAACUGAAUUUUCCUUUUAGUCAGCAUUAGGGUUUUAAACCUUAAACUGAACUUUUCCUUUUAGUCAGCAUUAGGGUUUUAAACCCUAAACUGAACUUUUCCAUUCAGCCAGCAUCAGGGUUUUAAACCCUAAACUGAGCUUUUCCAUGCAAUCAGCAGUAGGGUUUUAAACCCUAAACUGAACUUUUCCAUUCAGCCAGCAUUAGGGUUUUAAACCCUAAACUGAGCUUUUCCAUGUAAUCAGCAUUAGGUUUUUAAACCCUAAACUGAAUUUUCCUUUUAGUCAGCAUUACGGUUUUAAACCCUAAACUGAACUUUUUCCUUUCAGCCAGCACUAGGGUUUUAAACCCUAAACUGAGCUUUUCCAUGCAAUCAGCAUUAGGGUUUUAAACCCUAAACUGAACUUUCCUUUUAGUCAGCAUUAGGGUUUUAAACCCUAAACUGAACUUUUUCCUUUCAGCCAGCAUUAGGGUUUUAAACCCUAAACUGAGCUUUUCCAUGCUAUCAGCAUUAGGGUUUUAAACCCUAAACUGAACUUUUUCCUUUCAGCCAGCAUUAGGGUUUUAAACCCUAAACUGAGCUUUUCCAUGCAAUCAGCAUUAGGGUUUUAAACCCUAAACUGAAUUUUCCUUUUAGUCAGCAUUAGGGUUUUAAACCUUAAACUGAACUUUUCCUUUUAGUCAGCAUUAGGGUUUUAAACCUUAAACUGAACUUUUCCUUUUAGUCAGCAUUAGGGUUUUAAACCCUAAACUGAACUUUUCCAUUCAGCUAGCAUUAGGGUUUUAAACCCUAAACUGAGCUUUUCCAUGUAAUCAGCAUUAGGGUUUUAAACACUAAACUGAAUUUUCCUUUUAGUCAGCAUUAGGGUUUUAAACCCUAAACUGAACUUUUUCCUUUCAGCCAGCAUUAGGGUUUUAAACCCUAAACUGAACUUUUUCCUUUAGUCAGCAUUAGGGUUUUAAACCAUAAACUGA
rnacentral:lncRNA from 1 species